rnacentral:misc_RNA from 1 species
GAAACGCGAUAGUUAAUGUGAAUUGCAGAAUUCAGUGAAUCAUCGAGUCUUUGAACGCACAUUGCGCCCUCUGGCAUUCCGGGGGGCAUGCCUGUCCGAGCGUCAUUACGCACCAUCAAGCCCGGCUUGUGUGAUGGGCCCCGGCGUCUCGUUCGCGAGACGGGCCCGAAAGGCAGCGGCGGCGUCGACCCGAUGAGCCCGAGCGUAUGGGGACUUCUGUCACACGUUCGCGGUGCGGACCGGCGCCUGCUUGACUUUUCUGAUUAUCCAGGUUGACCUCGGAUCAGGUAGGGAUACCCGCUGAACUUAAGC